ensembl:lncRNA ATPase phospholipid transporting 9B (putative)
AUGCAGAGCGUUCCUGGCGGAAAUCAACACACAGGCAUUCCAAAGCAUCAGUCCUCUAUAUGGGGACAUUUAUUUAGAAAUUUUGGUGUCUUUUUACAACUUAAAGGUUCGUGUUUUAUUCGAACUGACCAGCUCGAUGGAGAAACAGACUGGAAACUAAAGGUUGCUGUCAGCUGUACACAAAGGUUGCCAGCUUUGGGGGAUCUUUUUUCAAUCAAUGCUUACGUUUAUGCUCAGAAGCCACAGCUGGAUAUUCACAGUUUUGAGGGUACCUUCACACGGGAAGACAGUGAUCCAGCAGUUCAUGAAAGCCUUAGCAUAGAAAAUACGUUAUGGGCAAGCACUGUUGUGGCUUCAGGAACUGUAAUUGGUGUUGUCAUUUACACAGGGAAGGAGACUCGAAGUGUAAUGAACACAUCCAAUCCAAAAAACAAGGUUGGCUUGCUGGAUCUGGAACUGAAUCAACUGACCAAAGCCCUAUUUUUGGCUUUAGUUGCACUAUCAAUUGUUAUGGUAACCUUGCAAGGAUUUGUAGGCCCCUGGUAUCGCAACCUUUUCCGGUUCCUCCUCCUGUUUUCCUAUAUCAUCCCUAUCAGUUUACGUGUGAACUUGGACAUGGGUAAGGCAGCCUAUGGGUGGAUGAUUAUGAAAGAUGACAAUAUUCCUGGAACAGUUGUUCGAACUAGCACCAUACCAGAAGAGUUGGGACGAUUAGUUUAUUUACUAACGGAUAAAACAGGAACACUUACACAGAAUGAGAUGAUAUUUAAGCGCCUCCACCUAGGUACUGUGUCCUAUGGAACAGACACAAUGGAUGAAAUUCAGAGUCAUAUUAUAAACUCUUAUUCACAGAUGCACUCUCAGAACAGUGGAAACAGCACGAGUUCAACACCAUCUAGGAGACUUCAGUCUUCUGCGCCUAAAGUCCGCAAGAGUGUCAGUAGUCGAAUACAUGAAGCUGUGAAGGCUAUUGCAUUGUGCCACAAUGUGACCCCAGUGUACGAAUCUCGUGCGGGUGUGUCUGGAGAAACAGAAUAUGCAGAAGUGGAUCAAGAUUUCAGCGAUGAAAAUAGAACUUACCAGGCUUCCAGCCCUGAUGAGGUAGCUCUGGUACAAUGGACAGAGAGUGUUGGUCUUACGCUGGUUAACAGAGAUUUGACCUCAAUGCAACUGAAGACCCCUGGUGGACACAUUCUGACAUACUAUAUUCUGCAAAUUUUCCCCUUCACUUCUGAGAGCAAGCGCAUGGGGAUCAUAGUUAGGGAUGAAUCUUCGGGAGAAAUUACAUUUUACAUGAAAGGUGCAGAUGUUGCAAUGUCCACUAUUGUACAGUACAAUGAUUGGUUAGAAGAAGAGUGUGGUAAUAUGGCACGAGAAGGACUGCGUACUCUGGUUGUUGCCAAAAAAUCACUGACUGAAGAACAGUAUCAAGAUUUUGAGAGUCGAUACAACCAAGCAAAGUUAAGUAUACAUGACAGAACCCUGAAGGUUGCUGCUGUUGUGGAGAGUUUGGAGCGAGAAAUGGAGUUGCUGUGUCUCACUGGAGUAGAAGAUCAACUGCAAGCAGAUGUUAGACCAACUCUAGAGAUGUUAAGAAAUGCUGGAAUAAAGAUAUGGAUGUUAACAGGAGAUAAACUGGAGACAGCAACUUGCAUUGCGAAAAGUUCUCACUUAGUAUCUAGGACUCAAGAUAUUCAUAUUUUCAGACCUGUUACCACUCGAGGAGAGGCUCACUUAGAACUAAAUGCCUUUAGAAGGAAGCAUGAUUGUGCCUUGGUAAUAUCUGGGGACUCACUUGAGGUUUGUCUGAAGUACUAUGAACAUGAAUUUGUUGAGUUGGCCUGUCAGUGCCCUGCUGUAGUGUGCUGCCGCUGUUCUCCCACCCAAAAAGCCCAUAUCGUGAAACUGCUACAACACCACACUGGAAAGCGCACGUGUGCAAUAGGUGAUGGAGGAAACGAUGUCAGCAUGAUCCAAGCAGCCGACUGUGGAAUUGGAAUUGAAGGCAAGGAGGGAAAACAAGCAUCCCUAGCAGCUGACUUUUCUAUCACACAAUUCAAACACAUAGGUAGGCUGCUGAUGGUACAUGGUCGAAACAGUUACAAAAGAUCGGCAGCACUUGGUCAAUUUGUCAUGCACCGAGGCCUUAUUAUUUCAACUAUGCAGGCUGUAUUUUCAUCAGUCUUCUAUUUUGCAUCUGUUCCCUUAUACCAAGGAUUCCUAAUGGUAGGGUAUGCAACUAUAUAUACUAUGUUUCCAGUCUUCUCUCUAGUAUUGGAUCAGGAUGUGAAACCAGAAAUGGCAUUGCUAUAUCCAGAACUUUAUAAGGAUCUCACAAAGGGAAGAUCUUUGUCGUUUAAGACCUUCCUCAUCUGGGUUUUAAUCAGUAUUUACCAAGGUGGUAUUCUGAUGUAUGGAGCCCUGCUGCUUUUUGAAUCCGAGUUUGUACACGUUGUUGCCAUUUCCUUCACUGCCCUAAUCUUGACGGAGCUCUUGAUGGUUGCGCUGACCAUACGAACAUGGCACUGGUUAAUGGUGGUGGCUGAAUUCCUCAGUCUUGGCUGCUAUGUGGCCUCUCUUGCAUUUCUAAAUGAAUACUUUGAUGUUGCCUUUAUCACAACUGUGACCUUCCUGUGGAAAGUGUCAGCAAUCACUGUUGUAAGCUGUCUUCCACUUUACAUUCUCAAGUACUUGAAACGCAAAUUUUCUCCUCCGAGUUACUCCAAGCUUACCUCGUAAAAGUGAACAUAUUCCUAUGGUAUUUCACACAUGCCAGUCUGCAUAUUGCACAUUCACUGUGCUUUUGUGUCUAUAGAUUUGUGAUGGACUAACAAAAUAAAAGUCAAAAGUAAUAGAGUGAGUGGAGCA